rnacentral:rRNA from 1 species
GUCUACGGCCACGCCACCCUGAACAAGCCCGAUCUCGUCUGAUCUCGGAAGCUAAGCAGGGUCGGGCCUGGUUAGUACUUGGAAGGGAGACCACCUAGGAAGACCAGGUGCUGUAGGCG